UUCUAUGACCCUGAAUCUAUAUGAACACGGUUAUUUUUGUUUGGUAUCCUUUGAUUGUUAUUUUACCUUGUUAUUUCUGAUAUAAGCAUCUAUACUUAAAUCUGCUUCCAACAUUUGAUUUCUUUAGUUUUUAGAUACUUUCUUGGUUAUUUUGAAAGCCAGGAGGGUCUUCACGUUAGUUUUCUGUUUGAUAUUUGAUAUUUGAUCUUUUUUUUUUCAUUUUUCUAAAUAUUGUAACGUCAAAAUAGUUUUUGGAUACAUUAGAAAUCCCUCAUAUCAAAAUAUUUAAUAAUCCCAUGAAAUUAGGAUAUUCAUUAUCUUGCAGCUGAUCGGAAUAAAGAUCUUAUUAUUGUCUAACACAUAAUGUAUAAAAAUGAUCAUCUAUAUUUUAUUUAUUUUUUGCUGCUUAGUACUCAAGAUUUACCAAGUCUUGGGGCAGUGGUAAUGUUGCUUUUUUACAUGGUGAUUAUUCACGUUGCGGAAACAGUCUAUCAUCUGAUUGAACAGAGAAUUGGUACUUGUGAACCUGGUAGAUCCUCAAACGGGUUGCGGGACCAGAAAGAAACACGGGCUCAACAAUUGUCGCGUGGGUCAAAAGUUGCAAGGUUUACACCAGAAGAAAGACCAAGAGGAAACGUGUUAGUGACUGAUUAGUGGACUGUGAUGAAUGUAUGGGAAAAGGAGGGUCGUGAUGAGGGGGAAUCUUAGUGUAUCAUUCUGUUAGAUAAGUCCGCAAAUCUGCUCGUUGCUGGGGAAAAAAGAAAUCAUCUAGUUCAGUGGUUUUUCUGCUGCAUAAGCAGAAUGGAGUAUGGAAGCAACUGUGGAAUAAGUUGGACGUAUUUGAUGGCUUCAGAAAAUGUUGAGUGAUAAAUUCUGCUAGCUGCAUCAAGUAAUUGUUGUCUCGUUUGGUACGGAGUGGAGUUGGAGAAAUAAUUUUAUAUAUUUCAAAGCUCCUAGAAGUUGACAAAAGUAAGCAAAUAUUUCUUUAAAAAUGAAUUAAGAGCACACCAGAUGUUGGAAGAUCUGAGGUGAUUCUCAACGUGAGGGUUUGUUUGUAAGUUAUGGUUACAUGUACAGCCUAUUGAUUUCUAGAUAAAUAAAUUCUUGUAGCCUAUUGAUACGUGUCCACCACGCCAAUUACGUAUUGUCCGUUUGUUUCUAGUUGAGCCGAUUAAGUUGAGUUCAAUAAAGGUUGGAGUAUUAGACAGUAGAACCCAGAAAAACUAUAAUUUGAGUUCUACAGAAGGGAUCAAAUAUGGUUGAAGAAAGGAAUAUUGAUUUGACUUU